UCCCUGGUGGUUCAGUGGCUGAGAUGCUACGCUCCCAAUGCAGAGGGCCUGGGUUUGAUCCCUGGUCAGGGAA
rnacentral:tRNA from 1 species